ensembl:lncRNA
CACAAAUCUCAAUUUAAAUUCAGGCUGUAACAUAACAAAAUGUGUAAAAAGUCAAGGGGUGUAACUACUUUCUGAAGGCACUCUAUUAGUGUGAAAACUACUACUUUUGACAUGAAUGGAUGCAGACGUAACGAUGGCCAUUAUUUAUAAACUAAAAGCGAGUGUUUCCACAUCCCAUUCUACUCAGUGGCUAUCAGUUUCCCUUUCCUUUGAAUACAGUUUGGGUCAGUAGGGUAAGGGUUAGUCGUUUUCUACUCUCUGCGGUGGAUGGGAUGGUUACUGCCGAUAGUAAAUCAAAUUGGAUCUAACAGGAUACAGAUUUUGAGAUCUCAAAUGCAUUGUUUCAUUUCAAGCUGAAACAAAACACACGGCUCGGCUGACUCACUUUAUCUGUGUUUGCCAUGUUAGUGUAGUGCUCUUUCAUUUGUAUUAUUGUUCUAGAACUCUGUGGUGGGUAGAUAAAAGGAGCAUGCAUGGUGACAAUGUAUUUCACGGCCAGAGAGUUAGCCAUUUGCCAGAUGAAGGCAAAUCCACACCCAAGCAUAAUCUUCCAAAGCCAAGACCUAGGUUCAGAAACAAUUUGAGAUCAUUUCAAAUAACUGCACUUGAUUGAGCUUACCGGUUGCAAUGGAACCAAAAAGGUCCCAAAAGUACAAGCCCCGCCCACCUGGCACUCCAGGCAGGCACUAAAGCAAUCACUCAAACUAUUUGAAAGAGAGAGUUCAAAUGGCAUUUGAACCCAGGUCCGCCGCAGCAUUUUUGCAGCCAACAGGGUUAAUAAGUUCAUCAGUACCACAUCUAGGCGGUGCCAGCAGGGUUAUAAAGCAGCCUUUUACUACUGUUGGUUCAGCAACAACAUGCUAGCUAGGAGGCAGGUCCUGGCCCUCAUAGGUCGAGAGAGAGGGAGAGCUGUGUGAGCUGUGUACUUACUUCCAAUGCAUUCAGUGCAGACAGGGUAAAUGAACACAUUUUUUAGGACAAGCCAGGAACAUCGUGUUCCUGCUCUCUGUAGCUAGUUAGAGUGUGACGUCUGCUGGCACUCUGCCUAGCAGGGCCAAGUUGAUUCAAAUCAGAAAGCGUGCUGCUGGGCUGCUGCUGCGUGGGCUACGGUGGGUGGCUGACAGGGUAGGGGGCUGGUAGGCUGCAUUGGGGUGGGGUGAGUGGCUGACAGGGAAUGGGGCUGGUAGGCUGGGGUGGGUGGCUGACAGGGUAGGGGGCUGGUAGGCUGCACUGGGGUGGGGUGAGUCGCUGACAGGGAAGGGGGCUGGUAGACUGGGGUGGAUGGCUGACAGGGAAGGGGGCUGGUAGGCUGCACUGGGGUGGGGUGAGUGGCUGACAGGGAAGGGGACUGGGGUGGGGUGGGUGGCUGACAGGGAAGGGGGCUGGUAGGCUGCACUGGGGUGGGGUGAGUGGCUGACAGGGAAGGGGACUGGGGUGGGGUGGGUGGCUGACAAGGAAGGGGGCUGGUAUGCUGGUCUUGUCUGCACAUGACAGGGUGGAGAGAGAGUGUCUUGGAUUUUUCCACAUGGGAACCUAUAUCCAGGUGUGCUGUGUGUGCCGAACAAAACAGUAGUAAAACACAGUGUUCUGUUAUUGUUAGUGUAACAGCAUGUUCCUUUGUGCCCACCCUUUAUAAUUCCACAUAAGUUCCUUAAUCCUCAUUGAUGACAGUUUAAGAGAGGUUUUUGAUCCUAUUGUACAUAAUACUUGAUUUGCAAUAAUAUGCCACAUAAAAGGCAUCCAAGUGUUGGAUCAAAUAUUUGAAUGAAGGAAAAGACCUGCCAAAACAAUGACAGUUGGAAUGAACAUAUUACAUUGAUAUCAUGGUAUGAUGUGUAAAGCUCUUAAUAAUAGACCAAUGGCAGACACUGACAUCUCCAACUACCCGUCUGAUGGGGAGGGAGAAGGAAAGAGCAAUGACACCCUGACCCAGAGCAGACUGGAAGCUGGGGUUGUUGCUGAGUGUCCUAUUCAGACUGGAGGCUGGGGUUGUUGCUGAGUGUCCUAUGCAGACUGGAGGCUGGGGUUGUUGCUGAAUGUCCUAUGCAGACUGGAGGCUGGGGUUGUUCCUGAGUGUCCUAUGCAGACUGGAGGCUGGGGUUGUUGCUGAGUGUCCUAUGCAGACUGGAGGCUGGGGUUGUUGCUGAAUGUCCUAUGCAGACUGGAGGCUGGGGUUGUUCCUGAGUGUCCUAUGCAGACUGGAGGCUGGGGUUGUUGCUGAGUGUCCUAUGCAGACUGGAGGCUGGGGUUGUUGCUGAGUGUCCUAUGCAGACUGGAUGCUGGGGUUGUUCCUGAGUGUCCUAUGCAGACUGGAUGCUGGGGUUGUUGCUGAGUGUCCUCUGCAGACUGGGGAGGGAGAGGGCAGCAGAUGGUCGGUCACUGACUGGGUCAGGUCCACUCUGGCAGUGCGGCAGACGCCCCAGAAACAUACAGACAGGAACUCCAAGGACCCAUAGGACUCCAACAAAAAGAAAAGGACAUUUCAAAGGUUUGAAGACUGAAGACAAAAUUAACAUUUUCCAUACAUACACUUAGGUUGGAGUCAUUAAAACUCGUUUUUCAACCACUCCACACAUUUCUUGUUAACAAACUAAGUCAUUUUUCCAAAAAUUGUUUACAGACAGAUUAUUUCACUUAUAAUUCACUGUAUCACAAUUCCGUAGGUCAGAAGUUUACAUACACUACGUUGACUAUGCCUUUAAACAGCUUGGAAAAUUCCAGAAAAUGUUGUCAUUGUUUAGAAGCUUCUGAUAGUCUAAUUGACAUAAUUUGAGUUAAUUAGAGGUGUACCUGUGGAUGUAUUUCAAGGUCUACCUUCAAACUCGGUGCCUCUGUAGUUGACAUCAUGGGAAAAUCAAAAUGAAUCAGCCAAGACCUUAGAAAAACAAAUUGUAGACCUCCACAAGUCUGGUUCAUCCUUGGGAGCAAUUUCCAAAUGACUGAAGGUACCAUGUUCAUCUGUACAAACAAUAGUACGCAAGUAUAAACGCCAUGGGACCACACAGCUGUCAUUCCGCUCAGGAAGGAGACGCGUUCUAUCACCUAGAGAUGAACGUACUUUGGUGCGAAAAGUGCAAAUCAAUCCCAGAACAAUAGCAAAGGACCUUGUGAAGAUGCUGGAGGAAACAGGUACAAAA